rnacentral:rRNA from 1 species
UGGGGAAUAUUGCACAAUGGGCGCAAGCCUGAUGCAGCCAUGCCGCGUGUAUGAAGAGGGCCUUCGGGUUGUAAAGUACUUUCAGCGAGGAGGAAGGCAUUAAGGUUAAUAACCUUAGUGAUUGACGUUACUCGCAGAAGAAGCACCGGCUAACUCCGUGCCAGUAGCCGCGGUAAUACGGAGGGUGCAAGCGUUAAUCGGAAUUACUGGGGCGUAAAGCGCACGCAGGCGGUCUGUUUAAGUCAGAUGUGAAAUCCCCGGGCUCAACCUGGGAACUGCAUUUGAAACUGGCAGGCUUGAGUCUUGUAGAGGGGGGGUAGAAUUCCAGGUGUAGCGGUGAAAUGCGUUAGAGAUCUGGAGGAAUACCGGUGGCGAAGGCGGCCCCCUGGACAAAGACUGACGCUCAGGUGCGAAAAGCGUGGGGGAGCAAACA